GGCGGUCUUCGGUAGUGGCAGCCGGGUCUGAAGCUUCAAAGAUCCGGCCGCUUCGAUCGACGACCGUA
rfam:Mycobacterium kumamotonense strain Roo Mkuma_contig000039, whole genome shotgun sequence.